GACGAACGCUGGCGGCGUGCUUAACACAUGCAAGUCGAACGGAAAGGCCCUGCUUUUGUGGGGUGCUCGAGUGGCGAACGGGUGAGUAACACGUGAGUAAUCUGCCCUUGACUUUGGGAUAACUUCAGGAAACUGGGGCUAAUACCGGAUAGGAGCUCCUGCUGCAUGGUGGGGGUUGGAAAGUUUCGGCGGUUGGGGAUGGACUCGCGGCUUAUCAGCUUGUUGGUGGGGUAGUGGCUUACCAAGGCUUUGACGGGUAGCCGGCCUGAGAGGGUGACCGGCCACAUUGGGACUGGGAUACGGCCCAGGCUCAUACGGGAGGCAGGAGUGGGGAAUAUUGCACAAUGGGCGGAAGCCGGAUGCAGCAACGCCGCGUGCGGGAUGACGGCCUUCGGGUUGUAAACCGCUUUCGCCUGUGACGAAGCGUGAGUGACGGUAAUGGGUAAAGAAGCACCGGCUAACUACGU
rnacentral:rRNA from 1 species